UCUCAACUUUAUUAGAAGAGACGCAUUUAUUAGAUAAAAAGCCAGUUCAUGCUUUUACAGUAUGAAAAUUGGUGAUUUAUAAUAACUUAGCAAAUCGCAAAGUGAAAACAGGCGAUAAAUCAUUCAAGUUUCUGACCUAUCAGCUUUCGACGGUAUGGUAUUGGCUUACCGUGGCAGUGACGGUUAACGGGGGAUUAGGGUUCGAUUCCGGAGAGGGAGCCUGAGAAACGGCUACCACAUCUAAGGAAGGCAGCAGGCGCGCAAAUUACCCAAUUCUAACAGUUUGAGAGAGGUAGUAACAAGAAAUAACAAUACAAGGCAGUUAAAAUGCUUUGUAAUUGGAAUGAUAGAAAUUUAAACCCUUUUUAAAGUAUCAAUUGGAGGGCAAGUCUGGUGCCAGCAGCCGCGGUAAUUCCAGCUCCAAUAGCGUAUAUUAAAAUUGUUGCAGUUAAAAAGCUCGUAGUUGAAGUUCUGCUGAAAGUAACCGGUCUGCUUUUAAUAAAAGUGGUAUCUUGGUAUGUAUUUAGCAAUGAUGUCCUUUGAAGUGUUUUUUACUUUAUUGUAAUAAAGCAUAUUCAGGACU
rnacentral:rRNA from 1 species